UAUAGCAAACAUGUAAGUGUAUAGCCAACACAAGCGUUGUCAUUGUCAUGCCUGAUUAGAUAAGGAUGGAAGAUAUCUUUAUGUAGCGUUCUUUCUACUCCUAUAUCGCAUCCACUUACACGUUAACUUAAGACUAUAUGACUCGCGUACUCUAACUUUAUAUAUCUAUGGUUAUAACAGACAUUUAUUGCAGUCUCAUAGUUGUUCGAAAUGUCGAGUUUCAGGACAUAUCUAACAAUCAUCGAAAUGGAAAGAUAGGUAGUAUUUCUGUACUUCUAUCAAAUUUACUAUUAAUAAAUUGAACACUUUAAACACUCCAUCCACUAUGUAAACCUCUAUUAUAUACUUGUGUUAGUAUGACAUAUUUUUUAUCUUCUAAUCUAUAAUCAAAGAGGAAAUUUCCUAUCUGCCGUGACGUCUAUAUCUUAUAAAAAGGUUAUUUGAAAGUUAGAGGUUUUCACGUUCGUGUUCUAUGUAUGCCUGUAGCGCUUAAAGUUCUAAAACAGACAACAAUUUAAAUAUCUGUGCAGGUCACAUUUUAUGAACAUUCAGACUGGUCUUCUUCGUCCAUUGUUUGUUCUGGAUUUAUGUUACAUGUUGAUGGUUAAUGGUUCUGAUUGGAUGUGUGGAAUGUCUAUUCAUUGGGGUAUAGCAGGUGCUGGAAAAAUAUCACAUGAUUUUGUAACAUGCUUACGAACACUACCAGAAUCUGAACAUGUAGUUCUUGCAGUAGCAGCACGUGAAUUAUCAAGGGCACAGAACUUUUCUAGCUUACAUAAAAUUAAAAAGGCGUUCGACAAUUAUAUAGAGCUAGCGGAAGACAAGAAUAUCGAUGUCGUAUAUAUUGGAACGUUACAUCCUCAACAUUUCGACAUUGCAAAAUUAAUGUUAAAUCAUGGGAAACAUGUUCUAUGUGAAAAACCUUUAACUAUGAAUUUGAAGCAAACAACAGAGUUGAUAAAUUUAGCAAAGGAGAAGAAGUUGUUCUUAAUGGAAGGUAUUUGGAGUAGAUGUUUUCCUAUAUAUGAAACUCUUAAAAAAGAAAUUGAAUCCGGAAGUAUUGGAGAUGUUCAUCAAGUUCUUGUAUCGUUCGGAUUUAGAAUGCCAGAUGUUCAACGACUCAACAUAAAAAGUCUAGGAGGAGGUACCGUAUUGGACUUGGGCGUAUAUGGAAUACAAUUUGCUUGUUUAAUAUUUAAUAACGAAAUACCUCAUACUGUACAAGCUGCUGGGUGCUUAAAUGAAGAGGGAGUUGAUCAAUCUGUAUCUACUACCUUUCUUUACAAAGGAAACCGUACUGCAACCAUUAUUACUCACUGUCUAGUUGAUUUACCGAAUGAAGCUUACAUCAUUGGUACAAAAGGAAUGAUAAAAGUUCCGAACUUUUGGUGUCCUACAACGAUCGAAUUGCCAAGUGGUAAAAUAAAUAUACCACUUCCUGAAACUGAAUAUAAGUUUAAUUUUAUUAACAGCAUUGGAUUUAUUUAUGAAGCUAAUGAAGUUCGCAAUUGCAUCUUAGCAGGUGUAACCGAAAGCUCUAAAGUACCGCACAAUGUUUCUUUAUUAGUUGCACAAUUAGAGGACGAAAUUCGAAGGCAAGUUGGAGUUACGUAUCUUGAAGAUUAAACAUUAUCAUAGACGAAAUAAUUCCAACGUAGUUAAAAUAUACUGAAUAGUGUGUAAUUACAUUAAUGUUUCAUAUCACAACUUCAGAGAAGCUUUCUUAUAUACACAUAUAUGUAUAUAUAAAAGCUGUUUGCCCUAUACAAGAAAUAUAUACAAUAUAACUACAAACAGUAUGGAACGUAAGAAAAUAUUGGUCACGACUAUCAUAACUGAAUUUUACGUCUUCAGAUCGAUGGAAAUCUAUCAAAAGAAUAUUCCGCAAAAUGAUCCUUUAUUGUGGAACUCAAAUUCGUAUCUUUUUUCAUUGGAUGUUUUUCAUUUUCUUAUCGUGUAGAGGCUAGACCUGAACGAAUUGUGUCGCGACCUGAUCAUUCUUUAAAAUAUUUCUCAUAAAAUACUAUAGUUCUCUAAAAAUACUAUAAAAGUUCCAUUAGUAUUUAAGCUAACAUUUUACAUUAUUUUAUUACAAUAAUAUAGAAUCCGAAGAAUAAUCCAGAGCUACGGAGAACCUUCAAAUUGAAUCCGUAAUUUUCUAUCAGAAAGUACAUCUUCGAUUUCUUCGUUGAACAUUACUUGCUAACAACUCUUCGGUGAAAAAACACUUGCUAUCAAUUCUUUGGUCAGAACACAUUUUAACUUGUUAUCCAGACUUCGGUAAGAACACUACAACAUCUUUUCGAUCGCAACAUUCACAAACAUUUAUAUUAUUCAAAAGCUGUUGGAAAUAAAUAGUGAUAUUUAAACUGUGAA